UGUAUUACAAUAAUUUUAGUAUAUGUAAUUUAUUCUCUUACAGAAUUGGGGGUGGUAAAGCCAUCAGAUAAAGAACACCAGAAACAGAGCUGGGUUUGUUAAGUUGCUGCUACAAGACAGAAUGGACAAGAGGAGCCAUGGGGCCUCUCAUUAGGAAGAAGGAAGAUUUUUAUGGGGUUUGAGCUUGUUCUGGGUGAUUCUAAAAAAAGGGAAGUGAGGAUCAGCUCUGAAUUGGUACAUUCCUAAAGGAAUUUCACAGCUACAGUGUGGCCUUGGAAGAAAGUUCUUUUUACGUUGGCUUUGCCAGUGGCCUGUCUUUGCUACAGUCUGAUUAUCAACAGGGCUGAUUUUUCUCUUGCCAAUUCUGGAUGGAUUUUACUCUUUCAGAUGUAUCACAAAGAAAGUUUGAAAAAGAAGACAAAAAUUACAACAUUUUCAGAAAAUGAAGACAAGAGGAACACCAUGUAUCACAAUAUAUUUAUGCCAAAUUUUCUUAGCCUUUCCCAUGAUGCUGCAGAAGGCACAAAAAUAACUGGGUAGCUGAAUUUCACCCUCAGAAUAAAUGGAUUCUCCAUCUUAAAUGAGCAAGGACAGUUGGAAGAAGUUCUGUCCACUGCUAUGUCAAGAAUUGCCUUACCCUCUGCCUUUCUAAAUGCAGGUUUAUAAAGGACUGAAUUAAUUCCUUUGAGAUUUUGACCAAAUCAUGACAAGAAAAUAACCUACAAGGUCUCUGAAAAAAGCAUUCAGUUGAAUUUAUGUUGGGACUUCAUAACAACUGACGUUGAAUUGAAACAAAAGGAAACCAAUCUAUCACCGUUAUUUGAUGAUAAAUCACUUUUGUUAUCCUCUAAACGCAAUCAGAUUUUACCUGUGACAUAGCAAUUUUUAUUUCUUUGCUUUCUUUCUUUUUUCUUUUUUGGCUUUCAUUUCUCUGAGUGGGGAAAAGAAUCCAACAAGAGCCAGAUUUUUAUUUGUUUGCUUUUUUUCCUCUCACCAAAAUAAUUGGAUUUGCUGGUGAAAGAAGAGUACUUAUGAAUUGCAAAAGCAUGCCUUCUGAUAAAUACUUCAUCA